rnacentral:rRNA from 1 species
GAUGAACGCUGGCGGCGUGCUUAACACAUGCAAGUCGAACGAAGCAUUUGCGACAGAUUUUUUCGGAAUGAAGUUGCUUAUGACUGAGUGGCGGACGGGUGAGUAACGCGUGGGUAACCUGCCUUGUACUGGGGGAUAGCAGCUGGAAACGGCUGGUAAUACCGCAUAAGCGCACAAUGUUGCAUGACAUGGUGUGAAAAACUCCGGUGGUAUAAGAUGGACCCGCGUCUGAUUAGCUAGUUGGUGAGAUAACAGCCCACCAAGGCGACGAUCAGUAGCCGACGUGGGAGGGUGACCGGCCACAUUGGGACUGAGACACGGCCCAGACUCCGACGGGAGGGAGCAGUGGGGAAUAUUGCAGAAUGGAGGAAACUCUGAUGCAGCGACGCCGCGUGAGUGAAGAAGUAAUUCGUUAUGUAAAGCUCUAUCAGAAGGGAAGAUAGUGACGGUACCUGACGAAGAAGCUCCGGCUAAAUACGUG